rnacentral:rRNA from 1 species
AUUCCUACGGGAGGCAGCAGUGAGGAAUUUUGCGCAAUGGCCGCAAGGCUGACGCAGCAACGCCGCGUGGGUGAUGAAGGCCUUCGGGUCGUAAAGCCCUGUCAGGUGGGAAGAAAGGCCUGGAGAGGAAAGGUUUCAGGUUUGACGGUACCACCAGAGGAAGCACCGGCUAACUCCGUGCCAGCAGCCGCGGUAAUACGGAGGGGGCGAGCGUUGUCCGGAAUUACUGGGCGUAAGGGCGCGCAGGCGGUUAUACAAGUCAGAGGUGAAACCCCCCGGCUCAACCGGAGGCCUGCCUCUGAAACCGUAUGACUUGAGGGCAGGAGAGGGGAGUGGAAUUCCCGGUGUAGCGGUGAUAUGCGUAGAUAUCGGGAGGAACACCAGUGGCGAAAGCGGCUCUCUGGCCUGUUUCUGACGCUGAGGCGCGAAAGCGUGGGUAGCGAACGGGAUUAGAUACCCCGGUAGUCCACGCCGUAAACGAUGGGUGCUAGGUGUAGGAGGUAUCGACCCCUUCUGUGCCGUAGUUAACACAAUAAGCACCCCGCCUGGGGAGUACGGCCGCAAGGUUGAAACUCAAAUGAAUUGACGGAAU